GAGUGAGCUGGAACCUGCAGCAGUCUUUAAACGUGCUUAUCAACACACAUCACAAGAGAUCUUCAUCUCGUAUACCUAGAGACGCCACUCCACAACCUCAUUCUGCACCGCUCCUGCAUCUGUCAGCCAUUGAACCUGGCCAAGAGUCUUUCUAUAUUAUUCUCAAGAGAGUUUGAGUAAUCCCAGGACCCGAUAAGAAAUGCAACCAAUGUGUUUCAUGCACAUUAAACGGUCAAUAGGAAGACGUACUUGCGCGUCUAGGGCCUAAUCCAGCUCCUAUUAAAAUCAAGAGAAAGAUGCCAAGGCUGAUCCUGAGCUGAUGUAAAUUGUCCAAGCUUCACUGACUUAAAAUCAACAAAAAAUGAGAGGAUGAAAGGGGGAACAAAUGAUCACUCAUUGACAACAAAGUCAAGGAGGAUAUGUGAUGUCUUUAUCAGCCAAUCAGUGGAAAUCAUGCUGUGGUCUGGUCACAAUAUCUCAGAACCUGGGAAAUUGAAAAACUGCAGGGGUAGCAAAUUCAUGAAUCCCAAAGAUUUAGGAUCUUCAUGCGGAAUAGUCAAGGGUUCUAUUCUAUUUCCCAGAAUUUAUGCCUUUGUUUUCUUAUAAUAAAGGAAGUUUCUAGCUUCUGGUUGGGAAGAUAACCUUGACAAUAUAAACCAACGUACUUUCAUCUUGCGGAGUCCUCAUCCUUACCGGCUAAAAACAAUAGCAUCAAGAGAUAUUAACUUCCUCCAUUCAUCUUAAAAGCGUGUCAGCUUUGAAGCAUAAAAUAUGAACAAUUAAGUGCCAACACAGUUAACCAAUUCACUGCUCAUUGUCAAAUUAGAAACAUCCAGUAAACAUGAUUAUCCUGUGGCUGGAUGUUCCUGGUGUGUCUUGACAUGCUUAUUCAGUUGAAAGGAUGUUAUGUGAGAAUAAGA